rnacentral:rRNA from 1 species
GAUGAACGCUGGCGGCGUGCCUAAUACAUGCAAGUCGAGCGAACAGACGAGGAGCUUGCUCCUCUGACGUUAGCGGCGGACGGGUGAGUAACACGUGGAUAACCUACCUAUAAGACUGGGAUAACUUCGGGAAACCGGAGCUAAUACCGGAUAAUAUAUUGAACCGCAUGGUUCAAUAGUUAAAGACGGUUUUGCUGUCACUUAUAGAUGGAUCCGCGCCGCAUUAGCUAGUUGGUAAGGUAACGGCUUACCAAGGCAACGAUGCGUAGCCGACCUGAGAGGGUGAUCGGCCACACUGGAACUGAGACACGGUCCAGACUCCUACGGGAGGCAGCAGUAGGGAAUCUUCCGCAAUGGGCGAGAGCCUGACGGAGCAACGCCGCGGGAGUGAUGAAGGUCUUCGGAUCGUAAAACUCUGUUAUUAGGGAAGAACAAAUGUGUAAGUAACUAUGCACGUCUUGACGGUACCUAAUCAGAAAGCCACGGCUAACUACGUG